GUGGGGAAUAUUCCGCAAUGGACGAAAGUCUGACGGAGCAACGCCGCGUGAGUGAUGAAGGUUUUCGGACUGUAAAGCUCUGUUGUUUAGGACGAAAGUGCCUGUUGCAAAUAGUUACAGGUAUUGACGGUACUGAACGAGGAAGCCACGGCUAACUACGUGCCAGCAGCCGCGGUAAUACGUAGGUGGCAAGCGUUGUCCGGAAUUAUUGGGCGUAAAGAGCAUGUAGGCGGGAAUCUAAGUCUGUUGUGAAAAUGCGGGGCUCAACCCCGUAUUGCGAUGGAAGCUGGGUUUCUUGAGUGCAGGAGAGGAAAGGGGAAUUCCCAGUGUAGCGGUGAAAUGCGUAGAUAUUGGGAGGAACACCAGUGGCGAAGGCGCCUUUCUGGACUGUGUCUGACGCUGAGAUGCGAAAGCCAGGGUAGCGAACGGGAUUAGAUACCCUAGUAGUCC
rnacentral:rRNA from 1 species